rnacentral:rRNA from 1 species
GGGAUUGCCCCAGUAACGGCGAGUGAAGCGGCAACAGCUCAAAUUUGAAAUCUGGCCCCCAGGGUCCGAGUUGUAAUUUGCAGAGGAUGAUUUUGGCGAGGUGCCUUCCGAGUUUCCCUGGAACGGGACGCCACAGAGGGUGAGAGCCCCGUCUGGUUGGACGCCGAGCCUAUGUAAAUCUCCUUCGACGAGUCGAGUAGUUUGGGAAUGCUGCUCUAAAUGGGAGGUAUAUGUCUUCUAAAGCUAAAUAUUGGCCAGAGACCGAUAGCGCACAAGUAGAGUGAUCGAAAGAUGAAAAGCACUUUGAAAAGAGGGUUAAAUAGUACGUGAAAUUGUUGAAAGGGAAGCGCUCAUGACCAGACUUGGGCCCGGUGAAUCAUCCAGCGUUCUCGCUGGUGCACUUUGCCGGGCUCAGGCCAGCAUCAGUUUGCCCCGGGGGAUAAAGGCUUGGGGAAUGUGGCUCCUCCGGGAGUGUUAUAGCCCAUUGCAUAAUAUCCUGGGGCGGACUGAGGUUCGCGCAUCUGCAAGGAUGCUGGCGUAAUGGUCAUCAGCGACCCGUCUUGAAACACGGACCAAGGAGUCGUCUUCGUAUGCGAGUGUUCGGGUGUAAAACCCCUACGCGUAAUGAAAGUGAACGCAGGUGAGAGCUUCGGCGCAUCAUCGACCGAUCCUGAUGUUCUCGGAUGGAUUUGAGUAAGAGCAUACGGGGCCGGACCCGAAAGAAGGUGAACUAUGCCUGUAUAGGGUGAAGCCAGAGGAAACUCUGGUGGAGGCUCGCAGCGGUUCUGACGUGCAAAUCGAUCGUCAAAUAUGGGCAUGGGG